rnacentral:rRNA from 1 species
UACGUAGGGGGCAAGCGUUGUCCGGAUUUAUUGGGCGUAAAGAGCGUGUAGGCGGCUUGGAAGGUCAGCUGUGAAAACUCGAGGCUCAACCUCGAGACGUCGGUUGAAACCACCUGGCUAGAGUCCGGAAGAGGAGAGUGGAAUUCCUGGUGUAGCGGUGAAAUGCGCAGAUAUCAGGAGGAACACCUAUUGCGAAGGCAGCUCGCUGGGACGUAACUGACGCUGAGACGCGAAAGCGUGGGGAGCAAACAGG